GUCUCAAAAUACAUAAAUAAAUAAAAUAAAAAUAAAAACAAAAAUAAACAAGACCCUAUCUCUGCUCUCGAAUAGUUCACAAUCUCACAUGGGAGAGAGUGACCUCCAGGUCAGUGUGAUGAAUGCACAAAUUGAGGUGUGCCUUCUUGUGUACACCCAGCAUCACAGAAAGAAGCUACAACCAAUGGCUGAGGGUUGGGGCAAUCGGAUAUUUGUGUUUAGAACCCCUCUCAGACACUCCCUACAAAGUGAAGGCAUCUCUUUUAACUUCCCCUUUCCCUCAAAUUUCUCUUUUCACAUACAAUGUAUGGCUGGAAUUCAAAGGAAAAUUACACUGUGAUCAAAACUGCAUAUCUAAAGCAGAACUGUCAGUUACUAUUAUCUAUUCUUGCACACCCAUGGGACAUGUUAUUUUAAGUUGAUGCUGCAUUCAAUUAAGCCCUUAUGUUGGCUACAACAUAAAUCACAUCAUCUAGUUUUCCAAUCUGAUCCAUCAAAUCACUGACAUAACAUCCCAAACAAAUGGUUGUGUUGUGCCUAUACAAACUCACUGAAGGCAAAGGAACUAGUCUAUUCAGUAGCAUAUUUUUUACAUAAGUGAACUCUUCCAGGUUGGAAAAUUUAUCAGUGAAAACAUAUUAAAUAAGUAAUACAGAAAUGGCACAGAGAGUGCUUAACAGCAUGACUUCUGGAGCCUUAGAUUUAAAUUCAGAUCUCAAUUUUGCCUCUUCCAGGCUCUGUAACCUUAGGUAACUUAUUUAAUUUUUCCAAGCAUGAGUCUCCUCACCUGUAAAAUGAAGGUAACAAAGCACCUGUUUCACAUUGUGGUGAAGAUUAAAUGAGAUAAUAUACAUAAAGCAUUCACCACAGUGGCCAGCAUGUAGUAUACAUUUGAAAAAUGGCGACCAUAGAAACAGGUAAAAGUACGGUUUUGGGGGCGGAGGUUGCAGUGAGCCGAGAUCGUACCAUUGCACUCCAGCCUGGGCAACAAGAGCAAAACUCCAUCUCAAAAAAAAAAAAAAAAAAGAGUACGGUUUUGUAGGCAACACUGUGGAGUCGCUCUGGCAUAAUGUUCCCCUGGGUACCCCUCAUCAUGGUGACAGUGCUUUGGAAAAGAAUGUCACUGCAGUACGAGCCCACGAGGGCCACAUAGAAAGUGGUUAGGCUCUGCGUGAUACUGGGGCCACACUGCUGGGUUGCAAACCAGCUCUGCCACUUAUUAACUGUGUGACUUUGGACAAGGCCAUUUGCCUCUCUGUACUUCAAUCUCCUUAUCUGUUAAGUAAGGAUAAUAAUUGUCCCCAUUUUGUUGAGUUGUCUUAAGUAUGCUGUAUAAAUGCAUUAAGGCAUGAAAUGCUUGGAACUGUUCCUGCUUCAGGGUAAACACCACAUGCGUUAGCUGUUACAGUGAUGAUGAAUCAGUAGGCACAAAUCGCUUCAGAUUAUUUCAUGCUGCCUAGAAGACAAGGUAGAUCCAGGAAAGAACUCCUGGGCCAGGACCCUGACUCUCGGGCUCUCUUCCACUUCUACCACAGCUUUCUGCAGCCCUUUCCUUUCCUGUCCCUGCUGCUUGCCCUUCCCUUUCCCAUCACCCUGAUUCCUAUGCUUUCUCCCAGCCUCAAAGGACAUCCAAAUCCCUCAGCCACUUUCUGAGUCAGCGCUGCUGCGCCAAGUGCUUGUGAGGUUGGUUGUCCUGGAAACAACAGCUUGCUCCAUAAACCUCUAGGAAUUAGGCUGGUUUGAGACAUGACUUGGAGGAGUCUAGGUUAUGCAGAGCAUAUAAUUUGCUCUUCUCUCAUUUUUUCCAGUUAUGAUGAUGAACAUAUCUAAUUCAGUAGUAGGUAUUCGAGUACCUUCCAAACAUGUUUAUUGGCCAGAAAGAAACCCCCUAAACAGAGAGGAAAGGAGGCUGAGGUUUUUAAACUUAAUCUUGCCCACAAAACAAUUUGUUCGUGCCUUGCUCUGGCUCUAGUGAGUUCUUUUGCAGGCCAGGGCAAGCCUGCCUUUCAGAAUGCUGCCUGGGAUCAAUGAGAUGGUAGGCUUUGCUGUUAGGCAGGCCGGGAUUUGAAUCCCAGGUCAUCCUCUUGCCACAUGUUUCACUGUGGACGAAUCACUUAUUCUCUGUGAACCUCAGUUUUCUUAUCUGUAAGAUGAGGAUCACAUAGGGUGGUUAGGAUUAAAUGAAGUCAUGUUCGUAUAGCAGCUUGCUGCUCCAUGGUUGGCUAGAAGUGCUCUUUUUUAAAACAAAAAAGUAAGGUGAAAGACUCUGAGGCAAAGAGACAUGGGUGUUACUUGGAAUGAAAAAGCUGGAAAAUGACAGAAUCUUGUAUUUUCCCUCCCCCUCUUAACCACUGUCUUCAUUUGGAGAUCUUAUUCAGGAGGCAAAAGAGGAAACCUGGAUUGUGAAAUGUCAACAGUCAUCUUGCACAGAAGAAAAGCAGAAACGUUUUACAGUUAACACUAUUGACCCCAAGAUUUCUGACCUGACAAAAUUCCUGCACCAGCAUUUUCUAAUGCUAUAUUUUUUCCACCCAAAACAACUUAUCUGCAAUAAAAUUAUUUCAUAAAACAAGACACAGGACAAAGAUGUUCUCUGUUACUACCCAGGUAUCUUGAACUGCAUAAGAGAAAAAGGUGAAUGGAGGAAGAUUCACUAUAUUAUUUUUCAUGCUUUAAUAUCAAAAACCAUAGCCAAGGCUUCUAAGAGCCUUUUCAAAGAUUUUUAUGGCCCUUCCUUCAUAAUUAAUUUGGCAACCAACCCAGGAACCAGUACAUAGCCCCAUUAACAUCUAGGGGAGGCCCCACUAUCUACUGAAGCAUAUAUUGAUGCUGAUACAAAUAAUCAGUGUCUUAUGCAGCUUAUGUACACCAAUUAUAUGUCAGAUUCUUGACAUAUACAGUUUUUAACCCACACGUGAGGUAACUGAAGGAAACUUAAUGUCUAAAGUAGUUAAGAACUUUAAUACCUUCUCAGGAAACUCUGUCUUUAGGUUUAGUUCUGCAGCUGAAAAAGGGAAUAUUUCUGGACCAAACAUUUCUUUAAAAUAUCAAAUGAGACGCUGGAAGCUAUGUGAGAGUGGAGGGUUGGAGAAGGGAGAGGAUCAGAAAAAAUAACUAUUGGAUACUAGGCAUAGUACUUAGGUAACAAAAUGAUCUGUACAACAAACGCCUGUCACAGGAGUUUACCUAUAUAACAAGCCUGUACCUAUACUCCUGAACCUAAAAUUAAAGUUUUAGAAGAAUAAAAAAAAAAAAGAGAAUCUUAAUGCAUUAUAUCAGAGUGUUCAAAAGGUCCCAGAGAAAAAUGCAGUAAUUAUGGAAGAUGUAACUUGUAAACAUGAAAAUUAUGGAAGAUAUAAAUUGUAAAACUAUCAAUACAAAAUUUCACUAUUUAAUUCCAGGCACAUUUUCUAGAUUGGCUUUUACAAUCUGAGAGAACUACUCUCACUAAUUAAAAACUAUUUAUUAAUUUAAAUCCACAUGCUUGACAACCCUGACUCUAUCAUCCCCAAUUUUUAGUGAGACAGCUUCACUUAUUAGAAAUUUAGUCUUCAUAUUUUUGUAAUUUAGGGAGAUUAAAAUAUGAGCAUACAAACUUUAUAACAGCAAUUUUCAUUGCAAGAUGUUUUUAAUUGUUUAAAAAAACAAACAAAAACUUGCAGAAAUGUUCCUAUUCACUUGCUCUUCUCAGGAUACUAGCACAAGUGAUCAGGAAAGGAAUAAGUCAAUAUUAAUUAUUACCAGGUCUCGCCAAUUAUUAUUGGUGCCUAUUGCAAGUAAUCUUUUACACUUCUAUGUAUAAGUGUGUCUUUUCCAAAGGAUGUUUCGAAGCACAGCUGGCUACAGAGAUUAGCAGCUGAGGGCCCACUUAUUCUCCAGUACCAACUCAUAGCUCUCACCAUCACAAAUACACUACAAAUCCUAACUUGGAAUAAAUCUGCUUUAAGAAAAUGCUGGAGUAAUGAACAAAGUUCAGUGCCAUGAAUCAGAAACCUAAGCAUCAGAGAAGGAGUGGCUGGUCACAACUGUCAUAGCCAUGUGACUUGGGGCAAUCACCGAGCCUUCUGGGUCUGUCUCCUCUUCUGCAAAUGAAGGAAUUAGGCCAGAUGACCUAGGGUCCCUCCAGCCUGAAGUCAAAAUGGAAGCAGGCAGCAAUGUGUGCUAUUUAACCCCCCUUACAGGUAGAACAUUGUAGGUUAAAACGUGAAACAAAUGAGUAGCCUAAAACAGACUCACAUUCACUGUUCAUUCAACUAAAAAGCUAAGCACCUGAAGGAAGGCACUACGUUCAGCUCAUUUCUGAAACAAUCCACUCACUAAGGUUAGUGUGAGCAUAUCUGUGUAUAUAGGUGUUGCCCACAGGACACCAAGUCCUAUGUGUGAAUUCACAUCCCGGGGAGCUUUCACAACCACACAGCACACACUCAGCAUCCGAAGAAAGACAAACAGCACUAAGAAAAUUCAAUUUUCAUGAUGCACACCAGGGAGGCUAAGCCUUUUUCAGUACCCUAAUCUUUAAAAUGGUGCAUCUACCACCUCGAUGCCACAUUAUGCAAAUUUACUAAGAAUUGUGAGUGAAGAGAUUUCAGCCCAAUUAAAAAAAGAUAAGGUUUUUUUUAAACGUGUCAAUUCCAAGAAGAUGGCCCAAGAAAUAAGCCGUAAUUACUCUAUCAUUAUAUCAACUCUUUAAUCACUUUUUUCCCCUUGCCUCCCAAAAAAAGAACUGAGGGGAAGUGGAAUUUAAAUAAAAAAUGAAUAGUCCCUCCAAGAAACCUCCAUAGAAGAGGAGUAUAUCUUCUGACAGAACACAUCUGUGUGCCUCUUAAAAAGGAUAUUCUAAAUCUGGAGGGAGUUAGCUUAGAUCCCCACCUUCCAGGCCCUGCCAUCUGGAAUUCUCAGACCCGUAAUAUCAAACUGUAAGGAAGCCGGGGCUGGAUGAGUAUCCCCACUCCCCUAACCCCACUCCAACAUUCUAUGUGCUACCACGCUCCCCUAUUUCAACCCAACUGGUUGAACAGGAAACAUUCCUAAGAUGAGCAGGUAGCCGGUGGAGCUGAACCCAAGUCUCCCCAGCCCAUGUCCACUGACACCCUGCAUGAUCAGAAGGCUUUAAAGAACCCUCACUCAGAAACCUCAUAUUAUUUUUGGAUGCCUCCGGUGUAAAAGCACCCCCUGCGUUCCGAAUAAUUCAUUUCAAGAAACAUGGUAUUAAGUGUUUAGUAUGUACCAGGCGCCUGAAUAGGUGCAGGGGUAAAAAUGUCUUGACACCAAGGAACCUCCGGCAUUUGUGAAUCUGCUGAACAUCGCCAUUGAUGGACUGGAUGCUGCCGCCUUUGCCCCUCCCCCUCCUGCCACGUGUCAUCGCGCCUACUUAGCGACACCUAGUGGUCAGUAAAGAGAACUAUCUGAAUCAAUGACGCCUUUCAGGACUUCUCUCAACAGAGUUUGACCAAGUUUUCUUCUGCUGUGUCAGAUCCCUCUCCCAGAUCAGAUCAUUAGAACCUCCUCCAGUAUCUUAUGUAUAUGUGUCUAGAAUGACUUUUUUUUGAGACAGAGUCUUGCUCUGUCGCCCAGGCUGGAGUGCAAUGGCCUGAUCUUGGCUCACUGCAACCUCCACCUCCCAGGUUCAAGUGAUCCUCCCACCUCAGCCUCCCAAGUAGCUGGGAUUACAGGGACACGCCACCACGCCCGGCUAUUUUUGUAUUUUUAGUAGAGACAAGGUUUCACCAUGCUGGCCAGGCUGGUCUUGAACUCCUGACCUCCGGUGAUCUGCCUGCCUUGGCCUCCCAAAGUUCUGGGAUUACAGGUGUAAGCCACCGCACCCAGCCUAGAAUGACUUUUUAACAUCUCUUUCUGUACACAUUUGAUCAAUAACCUUGGAAACAUUAUUCUUGUAGCACAUUUUAUUGCUGUAAGGGCAAGUUAAGACUUCUGAAUAAGCAAAAAUGAUUACUGAGCAUCUCCAAUGGAAAACUAUGCAUUCUUUACAGCACACUUUUCUAAGUUAUUUGUUUCUAUGGAAUCUGUGUUUUUUUCUUGUCUUGGAGUUAUUCUAGAGCUCGGUAGAUUGUGGAUAAAUACAAAUAAUUCUUGUCUAUAAACAUGCAAAUAAAUUCUGCCUGAUGGAAGUUCAGUAGACUCCACCUUACCCCACACCCGCACUCCACCCCGCCUCCCAUGGAAAAAGUCAAUUUUGUGUCCAUUGGUAAAUGAAUUUCAACGUUGCUUUACUCUAUAUAAAUUGGUCUUUGACCUUGCCUUUGAACUGGUGGUGACCUCUGGCUAGUUUCCCCUUUAAUUCAUGAGUUAAAUAAAAUUUUGACAUGUUUUCAUUCUAUUA
rnacentral:lncRNA from 1 species